GUCCCAGUUCGGAUUGCAGGCUGAAACCCGCCUGUAUGAAGUUGGAAUCGUUAGUAAUCGCGGAUCAGCAUGCCGCGGUGAAUACGUUCCCGGGCCUUGUACACACCGCCCGUCACACCAUGAGAGUCGGGAACACCCGAAGUCCGUAGCCUAACUUGCAAGAGAGGGCGCGGCCGAAGGUGGGUUCGAUAAUUGGGGUGAAGUCGUAACAAGGUACC
rnacentral:rRNA from 1 species